rnacentral:rRNA from 1 species
GGGUUGUGAGGUUAAGCGACUAAGCGUACACGGUGGAUGCCCUGGCAGUCAGAGGCGAUGAAGGACGUGCUAAUCUGCGAAAAGCGUCGGUAAGGUGAUAUGAACCGUUAUAACCGGCGAUGUCCGAAUGGGGAAACCCAGUGUGAUUCGUCACACUAUCGUUAACUGAAUACAUAGGUUAACGAGGCGAACCGGGGGAACUGAAACAUCUAAGUACCCCGAGGAAAAGAAAUCAACCGAGAUUCCCCCAGUAGCGGCGAGCGAACGGGGAGCAGCCCAGAGUCUGAAUCAGCUUGUGUGUUAGUGGAACGGUCUGGAAAGUCCGACGGUACAGGGUGAUAGUCCCGUACACCAAAAUGCACAGGUUGUGAACUCGAAGAGUAGGGCGGGACACGUGGUAUCCUGUCUGAAUAUGGGGGGACCAUCCUCCAAGGCUAAAUACUCCUGACUGACCGAUAGUGAACCAGUACCGUGAGGGAAAGGCGAAAAGAACCCCGGCGAGGGGAGUGAAAAAGAACCUGAAACCGUGUACGUACAAGCAGUGGGAGCACCUUCGGGUGUGACUGCGUACCUUUUGUAUAAUGGGUCAGCGACUUAUAUUCUGUAGCAAGGUUAACCGUAUAGGGGAGCCGCAGGGAAACCGAGUCUUAACUGGGCGUUAAGUUGCAGGGUAUAGACCCGAAACCCGGUGAUCUAGCCAUGGGCAGGUUGAAGGUUGGGUAACACUAACUGGAGGACCGAACCGACUAAUGUUGAAAAAUUAGCGGAUGACUUGUGGCUGGGGGUGAAAGGCCAAUCAAACCGGGAGAUAGCUGGUUCUCCCCGAAAGCUAUUUAGGUAGCGCCUCGUGAACUCAUCUUCGGGGGUAGAGCACUGUUUCGGCUAGGGGGUCAUCCCGACUUACCAACCCGAUGCAAACUACGAAUACCGAAGAAUGUUAUCACGGGAGACACACGGCGGGUGCUAACGUCCGUCGUGAAGAGGGAAACAACCCAGACCGCCAGCUAAGGUCCCAAAGUCAUGGUUAAGUGGGAAACGAUGUGGGAAGGCACAGACAGCCAGGAUGUUGGCUUAGAAGCAGCCAUCAUUUAAAGAAAGCGUAAUAGCUCACUGGUCGAGUCGGCCUGCGCGGAAGAUGUAACGGGGCUAAACCAUGCACCGAAGCUGCGGCAGCGACACUAUGUGUUGUUGGGUAGGGGAGCGUUCUGUAAGCCUGCGAAGGUGACCUGUGAGGGUUGCUGGAGGUAUCAGAAGUGCGAAUGCUGACAUAAGUAACGAUAAAGCGGGUGAAAAGCCCGCUCGCCGGAAGACCAAGGGUUCCUGUCCAACGUUAAUCGGGGCAGGGUGAGUCGACCCCUAAGGCGAGGCCGAAAGGCGUAGUCGAUGGGAAACAGGUUAAUAUUCCUGUACUUGGUGUUACUGCGAAGGGGGGACGGAGAAGGCUAUGUUAGCCGGGCGACGGUUGUCCCGGUUUAAGCAUGUAGGCUGGUUAUCCAGGCAAAUCCGGAUAAUCAAGGCUGAGGUGUGAUGACGAGGCACUACGGUGCUGAAGUAACAAAUGCCCUGCUUCCAGGAAAAGCCUCUAAGCAUCAGGUAACAUCAAAUCGUACCCCAAACCGACACAGGUGGUCAGGUAGAGAAUACCAAGGCGCUUGAGAGAACUCGGGUGAAGGAACUAGGCAAAAUGGUGCCGUAACUUCGGGAGAAGGCACGCUGGUGUGUAGGUGAAGUCCCUGCGGAUGGAGCUGAGACCAGUCGAAGAUACCAGCUGGCUGCAACUGUUUAUUAAAAACACAGCACUGUGCAAACACGAAAGUGGACGUAUACGGUGUGACGCCUGCCCGGUGCCGGAAGGUUAAUUGAUGGGGUUAUCCGUAAGGAGAAGCUCUUGAUCGAAGCCCCGGUAAACGGCGGCCGUAACUAUAACGGUCCUAAGGUAGCGAAAUUCCUUGUCGGGUAAGUUCCGACCUGCACGAAUGGCGUAAUGAUGGCCAGGCUGUCUCCACCCGAGACUCAGUGAAAUUGAACUCGCUGUGAAGAUGCAGUGUACCCGCGGCAAGACGGAAAGACCCCGUGAACCUUUACUAUAGCUUGACACUGAACAUUGAGCCUUGAUGUGUAGGAUAGGUGGGAGGCUUUGAAGCGUGGACGCCAGUCUGCGUGGAGCCAACCUUGAAAUACCACCCUUUAAUGUUUGAUGUUCUAACGUUGGCCCCUUACCGGGGUUGCGGACAGUGUCUGGUGGGUAGUUUGACUGGGGCGGUCUCCUCCCAAAGCGUAACGGAGGAGCACGAAGGUUAGCUAAUCCUGGUCGGACAUCAGGAGGUUAGUGCAAUGGCAUAAGCUAGCUUGACUGCGAGCGUGACGGCGCGAGCAGGUGCGAAAGCAGGUCAUAGUGAUCCGGUGGUUCUGAAUGGAAGGGCCAUCGCUCAACGGAUAAAAGGUACUCCGGGGAUAACAGGCUGAUACCGCCCAAGAGUUCAUAUCGACGGCGGUGUUUGGCACCUCGAUGUCGGCUCAUCACAUCCUGGGGCUGAAGUAGGUCCCAAGGGUAUGGCUGUUCGCCAUUUAAAGUGGUACGCGAGCUGGGUUUAGAACGUCGUGAGACAGUUCGGUCCCUAUCUGCCGUGGGCGCUGGAGAAUUGAGGGGGGCUGCUCCUAGUACGAGAGGACCGGAGUGGACGCAUCACUGGUGUUCGGGUUGUCAUGCCAAUGGCACUGCCCGGUAGCUAAAUGCGGAAGAGAUAAGUGCUGAAAGCAUCUAAGCACGAAACUUGCCCCGAGAUGAGUUCUCCCUGAGACUUUAAGUCUCCUGAAGGAACGUUGAAGACGACGACGUUGAUAGGCCGGGUGUGUAAGCGCAGCGAUGCGUUGAGCUAACCGGUACUAAUGAACCGUGAGGCUUAACCUUACAACGCCGAAG